rnacentral:rRNA from 1 species
AUUGAACGCUGGCGGCAUGCCUUACACAUGCAAGUCGAACGGCAGCACGGGAGCAAUCCUGGUGGCGAGUGGCGAACGGGUGAGUAAUACAUCGGAACGUGCCCAGUCGUGGGGGAUAGCUCGGCGAAAGCCGGAUUAAUACCUCAUACGACCUAAGGGUGAAAGCGGGGGAUCGCAAGACCUCGCGCUAUAGGAGCGGCCGAUGGCAGAUUAGCUUGUUGGUAGGGUAAAAGCCUACCAAGGCGACGAUCUGUAGCUGGUCUGAGAGGACGACCAGCCACACUGGGACUGAGACACGGCCCAGACUCCUACGGGAGGCAGCAGUGGGGAAUUUUGGACAAUGGGCGCAAGCCUGAUCCAGCCAUGCCGCGUGUGGGAAGAAGGCCUUCGGGUUGUAAACCGCUUUUGUCAGGGAAGAAACGACUGGGUCUAAUAAAUCUAGUUAAUGACGGUACCUGAAGAAUAAGCACCGGCUAACUACGUGCCAGCAGCCGCAGUAA